AAUAGAUACCCGGGUAGUCCUAGCCGUAAACGAUACUCGCUAGGUGUCGGCCACGGUGCGACCGUUGUCGGUGCCGUAGGGAAGCCGUGAAGCGAGCCACCUGGGAAGUACGGCCGCAAGGCUGAAACUUAAAGGAAUUGGCGGGGGAGCACCACAACGGGUGGAGCUUGCGGUUUAAUUGGAUUCAACGCCGGAAAUCUUACCGGGACCGACAGCAACAUGAAGGCCAGGCUGAAGACUUUGCCGGAUUAGCUGAGAGGUGGUGCAUGGCCGUCGUCAGUUCGUACUGUGAAGCAUCCUGUUAAGUCAGGCAACGAGCGAGAUCCACGCCCACAGUUGCCAGCGUACUCUCUGGAGUGACGGGUACACUGUGGGGACCGCCGCUGCUAAAGCGGAGGAAGGAAUGGGCAACGGUUGGUCAGUAUGCCCCGAAUAUCCCGGGCUACACGCGAGCUACAAUGGUUGGUACAAUGGGUAUCUACCCCGAAAGGGGAUGGAAAUCUCCUAAAGCCAAUCUUAGUUCGGAUUGAGGGCUGCAACUCG
rnacentral:rRNA from 1 species